GAUGAACGCUGGCGGCGUGCCUAAUACAUGCAAGUCGAGCGAACAGACGAGGAGCUUGCUCCUCUGACGUUAGCGGCGGACGGGUGAGUAACACGUGGAUAACCUACCUAUAAGACUGGGAUAACUUCGGGAAACCGGAGCUAAUACCGGAUAAUAUAUUGAACCGCAUGGUUCAAUAGUGAAAGACGGUUUUGCUGUCACUUAUAGAUGGAUCCGCGCCGCAUUAGCUAGUUGGUAAGGUAACGGCUUACCAAGGCAACGAUGCGUAGCCGACCUGAGAGGGUGAUCGGCCACACUGGAACUGAGACACGGUCCAGACUCCUACGGGAGGCAGCAGUAGGGAAUCUUCCGCAAUGGGCGAAAGCCUGACCGAGCAACGCCGCGUGAGUGAUGAAGGUCUUCGGAUCGUAAAACUCUGUUAUUAGGGAAGAACAACUGUGUAAGUAACUAUGCACGUCUUGACGGUACCUAAUCAGAAAGCCACGGCUAACUACGUG
rnacentral:rRNA from 1 species